CCACCGGCCUUAUUUUAUUGGUUUCUAAAGCUGGGGUAAUGAUUAAUAGGGACAGUUGGGGUCGGUCGUAUUGAAUCGUCAGAGGUGAAAUUCUAUGAUUGAUUCAAGACGAACUGGUGCGAAAGCGUCCGACAAGGAUGUUUCCGUUAAUCAAGAACGAAAGUUGGGGGAUCGAAGAUGAUCAGAUACCGUCGUAGUCCUAACCAUAAACUCUGUGGGCUAAGGAUCCGAGGAUGUUCCAUGGAUGACUCUCCGGGCACUUUGUGAGAAAUCAAAGCAUUUGCAUUCCGGGGGGAGUAUGGCCGCAAGACUGAAACUUAAAGGAAUUGACGGAAGGGCACCACCAGGAGUGGAAUCUGCGGCUUAAUUUGACUCAACACGGGGAAACUC
rnacentral:rRNA from 1 species